GCUAGCUAUUUAUCGUCUUAUUUUUAUUAAAAUUAGUUUUAAUACGUUUAAAAAUGAUUUGAUGUGUAGAGGUGACUUUGGCUCUUAUUUUGGACAACUUGGUUAUUAAUUUGGCCAACUUGGCUGUAAAUUUGGACAGCUAAUCCGCCUCAACAGGAUGCCCAUUGUUCUUCAUUUCAUGAACUAAUCUUACCAAGUCCUCUUCCUGUUCAUGUAAGGGAAACGUAGAAUGUCACAGAAGCCCGGAAACUUUCCAUAUCAUUCAUUAAAGUGAGUUGACUUCGAUACUCCAAGUACGUGCGGAUUCGCUCAUUCCCUGACCUUUCCUAGUCAUCACAAAAGGUAAAACUUCACGAAAUUUCGUGAGAAAAACACCUGUCCAAAAUAAGAACCAUCACCUUACUGGUAAAUGUCUUAAAAAAAUUUCCCAUUUUUCACACGAAAAAUCUAAUUCACAAGGCAAAUAUCACUUCAGAUCAAAUGUACAAAUCACCACUAACGUGAAUCCACACAAUUUUCAAUUAAUAUUCAAUAAUAUCACUCAAAAAAAGCGAGGAAACAUUGUUAGUACUUCACCACAGCUAAUAAGACUAAACACGAAGUUCUGUCAUAUUUCUCAUAAGCAAUUGCUCACACUGAAUUUUCAACAAAGCAAUUUCAACUCAAAUCAUAUUCAAAAUUUAACGUAUUUAGUGUUAAAAUCUUCCAAAAAGAAUAAAUAUUUAGAUAGAAUUCAUUAUUCAUCAAAUAUUGGAAUAAAAAUCCAUCAUUUUAAUUAAUUUAUUUUUAGUGUCCAAUUUUAUCCUCAAAGUGUCCAAAAUAAGAAACUGGACAAAAUUAUGAGCCUUUCCCCUACCUCAUUAAUAUAAUAUUUGAAUAUUUUAUGUCUAACCUUUCGUAAUUUUCUAUUAAAUUUGGCAAUUAAUGACGCAGAUUCAUUCCGGCAGUAUCUCUGGACGAUUUCUCACCUUUCAACUUUUUGUAAUUUGCCAUUUUUAACCUAAAUUACAAAUUAUCAAAAAAUAGAUUAUUUCUUGUUUUCUAUAAUCACUUUUAUAUACAUAUAUUUACAAUUGACAACUUUAAAAAUGUACAAACCCACCAUUUGCCUCUCAAAUGACAUAAACCCAAAAUGUAACCGGUUUACAUUAAGUUGGUUGCAUGUUUUGAUCAUUUCAAAUUAGUUUUUUAAAUGAGGCAACAAACUUUUGAUUUUUCAAAAAUGACCAACUUUUGGAAAACAAUUAUUUUUGAUAUGAAAUAAAUUUUUUUUUUUUUUUUUUUUGAAAAAUAUAAAUAAUAUCUACGGAUUACAGGGAACUCAUCUGCAAAAAGCAAAAUUUGGAAAAGUAAUUUUUUCUAUAAUUUUUUUCACUUGAUUUCUCAAACAUGCAUUAGGCAACAAACUAUUGACACCCACUGUACAUAACGUAAAUCCCCGGAAAAAUAACCUCUCUGAAGUGUCUGUAAAACAAGAAAAAUCUCAUUGUUGUUUUCUUUUGGGGGUGAUGCUUUGCCGAGCGAUGAGCCAGUGUUCGAAUUUUGUUCAGAGCAAAAUGAAAAAAAAAUCAGCUAAAAGUCAAAUGAGAAAAAUACUUUUAUCAAAUUGAGAGAGUCAACUACAGAAAGAAAAGUAUCUUCAUCAAUUGAGAGACGGACGUUGCAUUUCAUACUGAAAUUUGUGAGCUUGUGUUUUUAUUGCAGACGAGAUUGUGAUUUACCCAUAAGUGAGCGAGUUUUCCAGUUAAAAAAAAACAUUAAAAAAAUUUCACACUGAGAAAAUUGAGAGAGAUAAAUAAGUCGAGAGAAAUUGAGAUAAAAAGAAUUUUCAUCAAUUGACAGAGCAUAAUUCUUGGAUUUGAACCGAAACAAAAAUUGAUCAAGUUUUUUUUACAACUAUAAAAAAAAGUUAUUUGUAAAAAUAAUUGUAAGAAGUAUUGUUCAUUUUUUAAAUAAUUCU